rnacentral:rRNA from 1 species
UAUGUGAUCGUCUCUCGCAUAUCAAUAAGCGGAGGAAAAGAAACUAACAAGGAUUCCCCUAGUAACGGCGAGUGAAGCGGGAAGAGCUCAAAUUUGAAAUCUUAAAGGGUUUCCCUUUACGAAUUGUAGUUUAAAGAAGUGUUUUCUGUUGAGGUUUUGGUAAAAGUUCUUUGGAAUAGGACAUCAUAGAGGGUGAGAAUCCCGUAUUUGACCUUUACUUUCAACUUUGUGAUACACUUUCAAAGAGUCGGAUUGUUUGGGAAUGCAGUCCAAAAUGGGUGGUAAAUUUCAUCUAAAGCUAAAUAUUGGCGAGAGACCGAUAGCGAACAAGUACCGUGAGGGAAAGAUGAAAAGAACUUUGAAAAGAGAGUUAAACAGUACGUGAAAUUGUCAAAAGGGAAGCGUUUGGACACCAGUGUUGUUUUUCUGAAAAUCAAUUAAAGAACUGUUUAUGCUAAGCUGUUUAGACUUUAUCAGCUAAUCUGUUUAGUUUUGAGCUUUUCUUUAAUGCACUUUUCAGUUAACAAGUCAACAUCAAUUUCUUUUGCUGUAAAAAAGCUUGAGGAAGGUGGCUUGAGAUUCGUCUUAAGUGUUUAUAGCCUCUUGCCUAUGCAGUCGGAGAGAUUGAGGUCUGCAGCGUAGAUCCUUCGGGGACUAAAUGCAUUUGUGCUAAGUUAUAGCAUUUUAUAGACAACUUGUUGACUAUGAUUUGUCUUGUAGCUUACUCGCUUAUGUUAUUUUACCUACGCUUAGGAUGUUGACUGAUAUGUAGUCGU